rnacentral:rRNA from 1 species
GAUGAACGCUGGCGGCGUGCCUAAUACAUGCAAGUCGAGCGAACGGACGAGAAGCUUGCUUCUCUGAUGUUAGCGGCGGACGGGUGAGUAACACGUGGAUAACCUACCUAUAAGACUGGGAUAACUUCGGGAAACCGGAGCCAAUACCGGAUAAUAUUUUGAACCGCAUGGUUCAACAGUGAAAGACGGUCUUGCUGUCACUUAUAGAUGGAUCCGCGCUGCAUUAGCUAGUUGGUAAGGUAACGGCUUACCAAGGCAACGAUGCAUAGCCGACCUGAGAGGGUGAUCGGCCACACUGGAACUGAGACACGGUCCAGACUCCUACGGGAGGCAGCAGUAGGGAAUCUUCCGCAAUGGGCGAAAGCCUGACGGAGCAACGCCGCGUGAGUGAUGAAGGUCUUCGGAUCGUAAAACUCUGUUAUUAGGGAAGAACAUAUGUGUAAGUAACUGUGCACAUCUUGACGGUACCUAAUCAGAAAGCCACGGCUAACUACGUG